rnacentral:rRNA from 1 species
GUGCCAGCAGCCGCGGUAAUACGUAGGUGGCAAGCGUUGUCCGGAUUUAUUGGGCGUAAAGCGAGCGCAGGCGGUUUCUUAAGUCUGAUGUGAAAGCCCCCGGCUCAACCGGGGAGGGUCAUUGGAAACUGGGAGACUUGAGUGCAGAAGAGGAGAGUGGAAUUCCAUGUGUAGCGGUGAAAUGCGUAGAUAUAUGGAGGAACACCAGUGGCGAAGGCGGCUCUCUGGUCUGCAACUGACGCUGAGGCUCGAAAGCGUGGGGAGCAAACAGGAUUAGAUA